UUAGCUUUCAUGGUAGAUAUGACAGAACACUUGAAUUUGCUCAAUACAAGACUGCAAGGUCGCAAUAAAUUGGUGACAGACAUGCAUGAGUCCAUUCGUGCUUUUGAGGUGAAGCUCAAACUUUUUGAACGUCAACUAGCAGCGAAUAAUGCUGCACACUUUCCUACACCGAAAUCAUUGCAAAGCAUACCUGAGUUUCGUGGAAUUAUCAGCAGAGAAAAGUACUGCAACAUGAUUUCCAAGUUACUGAACGAAUUUGGAGAAAGAUUUGCAGACUUAAAGAACCUUGAGAGUGAUUUCUCGAUCUUUCGAAAUCCUUUCGCUGCAAAUCCUGAUGAGACACCAGAGGAUAUUCAGUUAGAACUAAUUGAUCUUCAGUGCGAUUCUGCGUUGAAGGAAAAGUUCUCAAGUGUUGAUAUUGGUACAUUCUAUCAAUAUGUUGGGCCAAGAUAUCCUCGAAUCAAAUGUUUGGCAUCAAAGAUUAUGUCAAUGUUCGGCAGUACCUAUGUCUGUGAGCAACUCUUCUCACUGAUGAACUUGAACAAGUCUGGACUCAGGUCUCGGCUCACUAAUGAACACCUCAACUCAACACUGAAAGUAGCCAUUGCUCAGUCUCUGGCGCCAAACAUAGACGAACUUGUACAGACCAAGAGGUGCCAAGUUUCUGGGAGCAGCACGACCAGGAAUUAAGAUCCGUGUCGUGGCAUCAUGAGGGAAAGCAGCUUGUGUGCUGUCAUCGGGACGGGGCGCUCACAACUUGGAAUCUCACACAAACCUCUCCCACACCCACCUCUAAUAUCUUCCACCACGGUAAGCCGAGGGUCAUUAUCCACUCAUCUACCUGUACAUUAGCGGCGCCAGGUGAGCAUAGACUAGAGGUUCCUUCAUUACCUUACCUGUUCUUACCUGUUGUGUGCAAUUAAUACUUUACCUGUGUUGAUUACCUUUGUUUUACCUGGCAGUGUCUCGUUCUUAUUCACCUUGCCUCUGUCAGCACCACGAGACCGCCUCCUCUUGUCCUUCAGGUGUGGCAGUGAAGGAAAGGAGUGAAGGAGGUAAAAAGCGAAGACGAAUAGCAGUAGGCAGCUGAAAAUAUUCUCUUAUGGCUUCUCUCUAUUUUCGAGCGUGGCGUGACGU